UACGUGGGGGGCAAGCGUUGUUCGGAAUUACUGGGCGUAAAGGGCGUGUAGGCGGGGUCGCAAGUCUGUGGUGAAAGCCUCCAGCUUAACUGGAGAAGUGCCGUGGAUACUGCGAAUCUUGAGGAGGGUAGGGGCGUCUGGAACGGUCGGUGGAGCGGUGAAAUGCGUUGAUAUCGACCGGAACUCCGGUGGCGAAGGCGAGGCGCUGGACCCUUUCUGACGCUGAGGCGCGAAAGCCAGGGGAGCAAACGGG
rnacentral:rRNA from 1 species